rnacentral:misc_RNA from 1 species
GCGUGUCGACGAAGAUCGUCCCGCGCCGUCGACCGGAGGCGGUGCCGUACUCCUCGUGACCAUUGACCAGCAGCGGUUGGGCCGGAGCCACAAGGCAGCAGUGGAAGGUGAGUCGGUGUGAGCCCGUCUUGCAUUGACAGCUUAUAGCCCUGUCUGUACGGUGCUCCGGCGUGACCGAGGAAGCCGGGCAGCCCUUGCCCAUUGUGGUGCACGCCGAAUGGCGGGGCCUCCCGACAGGAGCAAACCGUGCGGUGUGGACUGCAUGCAGUGCUCACUGUUGCGGUGAACUCGUGCCGGAGAGUGCCACUGGUGUGCCAGUGCUGCUGGUGUUCAGAU